CCUGUUUAACAAAAACAUGUCUUUUUGAGAAUAAUUUAAAGUCUAAUCUGCCCACUGAUAUAUUAUUGAAGGGCUGCAGUAUUUUGACUGUACAAAGGUAGCAUAAUCAUUAGUCUCUUAAUUGGUGACUUGUAUGAAGGAUUGGAUGAGAUAUAAACUGUCUCAAAAAUAAUUAAUUGAAUUUAAUUUUUUAAUUAAAAAGUUAAAAUAUGUUAAAAAGACGAGAAGACCCUAUAGAGUUUUAUAUUAAAUAAUAUUUAAAUUAUUUAUAAAUUUCAUUAAUUAUAAAUUUUAUUUAAUAUUUUGUUGGGGUGAUAGAAAAAUAAAAAAAACUUUUUUUAAAAAUAGUCAUUAAUAAGUGAAUAAUUGAUCCAAUUUUAUUGAUUAUAAGAAAAAAUUACCUUAGGAUAACAGCGUAA
rnacentral:rRNA from 4 species